GACAGAGGGUGCAAACGUUGCUCGGAAUUACUGGGCGUAAAGCGCGUGUAGGUGGAUUGGUGUGUCAGAUGUGAAAGCCCUGGGCUCAACCCAGGAACUGCACCUGAAACUACCAGUCUUGAGUGGUGGAGAGGGAAGUGGAAUUCCUGGUGUAGAGGUGAAAUUCGUAGAUAUCAGGAGGAACACCAGUGGCGAAGGCGACAUCCUGGACCGGUAUUGACGCUGAGGCGCGAAAGCGUGGGGAGCGAACAGG
rnacentral:rRNA from 1 species